rnacentral:rRNA from 1 species
GAUGAACGCUGGCGGCGUGCCUAAUACAUGCAAGUCGAGCGAACAGACGAGGAGCUUGCUCCUCUGACGUUAGCGGCGGACGGGUGAGUAACACGUGGAUAACCUACCUAUAAGACUGGGAUAACUUCGGGAAACCGGAGCUAAUACCGGAUAAUAUAUUGAACCGCAUGGUUCAAUAGUGAAAGACGGUUUUGCUGUCACUUAUAGAUGGAUCCGCGCCGCAUUAGCUAGUUGGUAAGGUAACGGCCUAUCAAGGCAACGAUGCGUAGCCGACCUGAGAGGGUGAUCGGCCACACUGGAGCUGGGACGCGGUCCUGACUCCUACGGGAGGCAGCAGUAGGGAAUCUUCCGCAGUGGGCGGAAGCCUGACGCAGCAACGCCGCGUGAGUGAUGAAAGUCUUCGGAUCGUAAAACUCUGUUAUUAGGGAAGAACAAAUGUGUAAGUAGCUAUGCACGUCUUGACGGUACCUAGUCAGAAAGCCACGGCUAACUACGUG